AACGAACGCUGGCGGCAUGCCUAACACAUGCAAGUCGAACGAGACCUUCGGGUCUAGUGGCGCACGGGUUCGUAACGCGUGGGAACCUGCCCUUAGGUUCGGAAUAACUCCCCGAAAGGGGUGCUAAUACCGGAUAAUGUCUUCGGCCCAAAGAUUUAUCGCCUUUGGAUGGGCCCGCGUUGGAUUAGCUAGUUGGUAGGGUAAAAGCCUACCAAGGCGACGAUCCAUAGCUGGUCUGAGAGGAUGGUCAGCCACACUGGGACUGAGACACGGCCCAGACUCCUACGGGAGGCAGCAGUGGGGAAUAUUGGACAAUGGGCGAAAGCCUGAUCCAGCAAUGCCGCGUGAGUGAUGAAGGCCUUAGGGUUGUAAAGCUCUUUUACCCGGGAUGAUAAUGACGGUACCGGGAGAAUAAGCUCCGGCUAACUCCGUG
rnacentral:rRNA from 1 species